UACAGGGGGUGCAAACGUUGCUCGGAAUCAUUGGGCGUAAAGCGCACGUAGGCGGUUCGUUAUGUCGGAUGUGAAAGCCCUUGGCUUAACCGAGGAAGUGCAUCCGAAACUGGCGAGCUAGAGUUCGAAAGAGGAUCGCGGAAUUCCCGGUGUAGAGGUGAAAUUCGUAGAUAUCGGGAGGAACACCGGUGGCGAAGGCGGCGAUCUGGGUCGAUACUGACGCUGAGGUGCGAAAGCGUGGGGAGCAAACAGG
rnacentral:rRNA from 1 species